rnacentral:lncRNA from 1 species
GGUACUGGGAGGCGUAGGUGAGGGUCGCGAGGCUGCCCGAGCUUCUGAGCGAGCGCGGUGCUUUUGGGAACGCGGGACGGGCGAUCUGCGGCGCCAGGAGCUGGGCCGAGGCGCGGCGGCGCGGCUGCCGGCUGCCCUGUGAAUGGGAAGUUACGCGAAGUCCACCCAGCGUUUCUGAGGCAAUCUGAAGGCAAAUCCUGUUUAGACCCAGGCGAAGGUUCCCGGUGACCCGGGCUCUCACCAGCCAAUUGUCCCUUGCCGUCCUCCUGAGGGUGCCUGGAGCUUAAGCACUGUGUGCUCUUGGCCUCCACACUGGGGAUGCCGCUGACUCCCACUGUCCAGGGCUUCCAGUGGAUUCUCCGAGGCCCUGAUGUAGAAACUUCCCCAUUGGGUGCACCAAGAGCAGCCUCACAUGGUGUGGGCUGACAUCAAGAGCUGCCAGAUCCAACAGGGAGCCUUGGAAGGAGCCCGAAUCACUGAUGGAAUUGGACAGUGCAUGGAGAUGGUUCAGCAGGACAAGGUGUCAUUGGAGGACAGUGUGGAGUGCAGAGAGACAUGCUUUGAAAUGGGAUUGAUCCAGUCCUCCUUCCUUCACUACCACAUGAAUGCUGGGCAGCCCAGGGUCAACCCACCGCACCCUCAACU